GACGAACGCUGGCGGCGUGCUUAACACAUGCAAGUCGAACGGAAAGGCCCUGCUUUUGUGGGGUGCUCGAGUGGCGAACGGGUGAGUAACACGUGAGUAACCUGCCCUUGACUUUGGGAUAACUUCAGGAAACUGGGGCUAAUACCGGAUAGGAGCUCCUGCUGCAUGGUGGGGGUUGGAAAGUUUCGGCGGUGGGGGAUGGACUCGCGGCUUAUCAGCUUGUUGGUGGGGUAGUGGCUUACCAAGGCUUUGACGGGUAGCCGGCCUGAGAGGGUGACCGGCCACAUUGGGACUGAGGUACGGCCCAGACUCCUACGGGAGGCAGCAGUCGGGAAUAUUGCACAAUGGGCGGAAGCCUGAUGCAGCAACGCCGCGUGCGGGAUGACGGCCUUCGGGUUGUAAACCGCUUUCGCCUGUGACGAAGCGUGAGUGACGGUAAUGGGUAAAGAAGCACCGGCUAACUACGUG
rnacentral:rRNA from 1 species